GAUAUUUACAAUGAUACUUUAAGUGUGAUACUUCUGAUUUUUGAAUUGUUUUGUUAAACCUACAGACAGAAUUUAGAUAAAGUUUAUAGGUUACUACAAAACACUAGUAGCAUAUUAACAUAAUAAAUAAAAACAACAGAAGAACAAAACAAAAUUCUCUGAUUGAUUUUCUGAAGAAACUCAGUGCAAAGAAUUAUGAUUUGAGAGCAAAUCAAAGCCAAAUCUUUUUAACGUGAAGUUGAGAAACUACGAUGAAAAAAUGAAAAAAGUUCAACAGGGGAUCUGAGUCUAAAUUUUCGACUUUGGCACACUAGAAUUGAGCCGAUACCGAUAUAUGCUUAGUUUCGAUCAAUCCACCCACCUCUAAAUCUUAAAAUGGUCAUUCUGAAUUUGAAUCUUUUUUUUUUAACUUCUUGAAGAUCAUUUCAGAACCUCUUGCUCCAUGAGUUUUAGAAUCAUUAAACCAAAAGUAGCCCAACCAUUUAAAAAGGAUUAAAGCAACACCUGUAUGCUGCUGCUGCUCCUUUAGAUCCAUUAACAAUUACAAACCUCCAUCUGCCUUCUGCCUCUCACCGCCUUCCUGUUCUACAGUUAAACUAAAGCCAUUUUGUCUCAGCGGCACCUCGAGCCGAGAUCAAUGGCAGACUUUAUCCUGGCGCCCCAGAUGUUGCACUCGCAUUUCUCCGAGUCCCACCAUAUGUUGCCCGCGCUGCCAUUUGGGUCCAGAGCGGGCAGAAAGUAGGAACUAACAGGUUAGAUAUCCGCCGCCUGAUUUCAAUUUCAGAGUGUUUUGCCUUCACACGCGCCCAAUAAGACGUGACGUCGCUCUCCCGCACAUGCUAAUUAUCUUGUGUGCCCAACAGGCCCGCGCGCUAGUUUGGGUAUAGAGCACGUCAUGUGUGAAUGUGAGCUGUGUUGAGGGGAGUGUUGGAAACUGCGGGCUAUAAUUACACUCACACAUGCGGCAGCAUCAAGCCACACACACACACACACACACACACACACACACACACACACACACACACACACACAGACAUCCCUGACGAAGAGAGGCGUCGGCUCAGAUAAAGGGGAAUCGGCCGGCCUGUGCCGCCGUCGCACAAAAGGGUGUGAAAAGCGGCGCGCGGAGACAAGAGCGAGAUGAGAGAAAGAGAGAGAUGGACAGACAGAGAGAGAGGCAUAGAGGUUUUGUCCUCUGUUUCACCCCCUCCUCCCAGCUCGGUUCCUCGCAGCCUUGACGGCUCCACUUUAUUGUAUCCUCAAUGCCAAGGCCCCCUCCGGUAGGUGUUGCAGAUGUAUGGAGACCACAGCAGCGCUCCGACUGUCCAUCAAAACAAUAUAGCUCAUAAACAUGACAGGUGCAUCUGCUUUAUUUCUCCUGUUUAAUUCGGUGCCGUAGUUGUUGGUCGGUUUUGUGUUCAGAUAUUCCUGUCUGUCCGUCGAGGGCUGAAUUUCUUUUGGCAAAGAUUUAUUUGCUAAUGCUAAUCCAGCAGGCGCGUGACUCAGCCUGAGCAGUAGUGGUGUCUUCUUCCGGGUUGCAAAAGUUCUCUGAGUUGUUUGUUGGAUGGAGUGAUUUCUACUUGUU